rnacentral:piRNA from 1 species
UGCAGGUGUUAAGGUUCAAGGCCAU